GGGGGGGCGAGCGUUGUUCGGAAUUACUGGGCGUAAAGGGCGCGUAGGCGGUCCGCUAAGUCGGAUGUGAAAACUCUGGGCUCAACCCAGAGCCUGCAUCCGAAACUGACGGGCUAGAGUUCUGGAGGGGGUAGCGGAAUUCCUGGUGUAGCGGUGAAAUGCGUAGAUAUCAGGAGGAACACCGGUGGCGAAGGCGGCUACCUGGACAGAAACUGACGCUGAGGCGCGAAAGCUAGGGGAGCAAACAGGAUUAGAUACCCUGGUAGUCCUAGCCCUAAACGAUGGAUACUUGGUGUGACGGGGAUUGAAUCCCGUCGUGCCGAAGCUAACGCAUUAAGUAUCCCGCCUGGGGAGUACGGUCGCAAGGCUG
rnacentral:rRNA from 1 species